UACAGGAGGUCUCAAGCGUUGUUCGGAUUCAUUGGGCGUAAAGGGUGUGUAGGUGGCGCGUUAAGUCGGGUGUGAAAAUUUCGGAGCUUAACUCCGAAACUGCAUUCGAUACUGGCGUGCUUGAGGAGCUGGAGAGGAGACUGGAAUUUACGGUGUAGCAGUGAAAUGCGUAGAUAUCGUGAAGGAAGACCAGUGGCGAAGCGGGUCUCUGGACAGUUCCGUGACAGCUGAGACACGAAGGCCAGGGGAGCAAACGGG
rnacentral:rRNA from 1 species